GACGUCCUGGGAUGAUCUGGCAAAAUGACACGCCUUUCCGGUUACCAUGUCUGGCUGGGCUCAGUCAAUGGGACUGACGGACUAUCGGAUACCUGUUCAGUGAGUCGAACACUACUAGUACAAACAUGUCUUGUUUAGCAAGAUAAUGAUGAUUUCUGCUGGGAAAGGAUUCUUUUCCCUAAAGUGUCUUUGCUGUUUUUCCCCCCUUCAAACCUGCACUCUGAGCCAGGAUUCCAUACAUGGUAGGAGAAAUGGGCUUAUUAACUGACUCCAUGCAUGGCAGAAACAAAGCAUUGGAAGGAA